rnacentral:lncRNA from 1 species
AACAGAAAGAGGAGAGAAAGGAGAGGAGACACUGAAGAGAGGAUUGUUGGAGUAACAGUCCCAGGAGUGGAAUGCAGCUGAUAUUUAUGGAAUGAAACACAGAGUACACAGAGGGACAUUUGCAAUAUUAUGUUGAAAAUACUGCUCCAGAUCUCAAGUUUAGGAACCAAAGAUCCUGUUCUGGCACCUGAACAGCUGAGUAGGAGAGCCCAUAACAUGAGGAUUCCCCUGCUGCUGUUCUGUGAUCAGACCCAGAGUACAACAUGAGAUCAAGAUGUGCCCAAAUAUAUGGGACUGGGCUAGAAAUAGCCCUGGCAAAUGAUCUGUACUUAGAUGGAAUUAGAAUGUGAGUGCUUGGUGGAGGGCAAAAUGCAUGUCUGAAUUUUCCAGCUUGAUGCAUUUUCUAAAAUCAGAGGAAAAUCUGAAUAAAAAUCUUUUUCUUAGGGGGAUUUUAUAGAAA